CGCUGUCGAUCAACGAGGAAACCGGGAUGCUCGUCGAGGGCUUCGAAUGCCCACCGACGAUCAUGUCGCCGCAUCACCGCUCUUAUCAGGCUCGUCUUGCCGAGGGGGCGGGCUUAGAGAAGGUGAAGGACUGUUACGGGUGGAAACACCAAGUGGUGCCGGCGCCGGCGCGCGCCCAGAAGGCCUGGGAGGCGAUCACGAGUCUUCCCGAGGUUCGGUUCCGG
rnacentral:rRNA from 1 species